UCAAGGAGAAAAAACCAAUUUGGGUCCAUACCCAGAAUGUAUAAGUUGAUGGAACAACACCUAGAACGCACAAAUCCAUAAUUUAAUCACAUCAUUAGCAACAAAUCCUCUCAUUACCAAUUAUUAAAAAGAUUAUCCAAUGUGACCAAAGGCUGGUUUAUCAAUUAAAAACUUUCUGAACUACCCAACUCAGAUAUUAUCCUAAUUGAUCAUAAUAAGCCGAUCAUUGAAUCUAAAGCAAGAAAAGAACAAACUUUGGUCCAUCCCAAAACUGUAUAUCUAUGGGCCAAUGCCUAUGUAGCAGAAACUAUGUCAAGCAAAAACUGAAAAGAAUUAAAAGUGAAUACAAGUUCAAAUACAUCAGACGCACCACAAAUUAGCUCAAGAAACACAAAUGAAUUUUCAUUGCAUACUCGGUUCGGAAUUUGCAGUAAAUUACUAAGAACAGUUUGUAUCAGCAGAUAUGUUCCAAAGAAAAUUUAAAAAAAGAAAGAAUGAAUGAAGGUUGCAACGAGAAGUACAUGAGGUUUUGCAAUUGCUUCAGAGAAUCCAAAUCCUGAGCAUUGAUUAGGGUUUUGAAUUCCUUAGAAAUCUCUUCGGAUGCAGAUUUGACGGAUUCUUUCUCUGUUUCCUCCAUUUUCUCUGUGGGAAAAGUACUUUGGACGAUAACUCUUCUGUAUAAACACUCUAUUUUGAUGAAUUGCAAGUCUAUCCUCUCUGGUUUGUAAAAUUACACUUACCUCCCAAACAACUUAGGCUUUC
rnacentral:lncRNA from 1 species